rnacentral:rRNA from 1 species
CAUUACACAAAUAUGAAGCCGGACUGGGAUAGGGCCUCGCUGCCUUGCCCGUCUGGCGCCAUAUUCACCCAUGUCUUUUUGCGUACUACUUGUUUCCUUGGCGGGUCCGCCCGCCAAUUGGACCUUAUUCAAACCUUUUUUUCAGUUGCAAUCAGCGUCAGCAAAACAAAUGUAAUCAAUUACAACUUUCAACAACGGAUCUCUUGGUUCUGGCAUCGAUGAAGAACGCAGCGAAAUGCGAUAAGUAGUGUGAAUUGCAGAAUUCAGUGAAUCAUCGAAUCUUUGAACGCACAUUGCGCCCUUUGGUAUUCCAAAGGGCAUGCCUGUUCGAGCGUCAUUUGUACCCUCAAGCUUUGCUUGGUGUUGGGCGUCUUGUCUCUCUCCCGAGACUCGCCUUAAAAUCAUUGGCAGCCGGCCUACUGGUUUCGGAGCGCAGCACAUUAUUUGCGCUCUUGUCCAGCCGCGGUCGCGCGUCCAUGAAGCUUCUUUCAACCUUUUGACCU